UGCACGGUGGCUUAGUGGUUAGCACAUUUGCCUCAUAUCUCCAGGGUCCAGGGUUCAAGUCCCUCUGUCCUGCGA